CUCCUGUGCACCCGGCUUCCAGCCCCGGCCACGCGGGGAAAGCCCGUGUGAGGACAGGGGGUGUCCCUGCCGCGGGUGGGACGGGCGGGUGUCGCCGUGCGCGCACCCCGUGGGUGCAGAGGGGGCUGCCGUGCCCCCGGCUCCCCCCUUCUGCCCCUAAAAUCACCGCGCAGGCUUCCACGAGUUUGUCCACGCGUGGGUGCGCGGUGCCGCCGCGGGCGCGGAGGGCAGGCAACGUCCGCAGUUUGUUUCGCUUUAGCGAGUGGCUCACCCGUGGCCGUGCGGCGCCGCUGGGUUGGAACAGCGAGAACCCACCCGCGCUGCACGGACAUCCACCCGCGGCCGCGCUCCUACCGCCCCACACAGGGCCGGAGACGGCGGCAGACGGGGCCGUUUUCAACUCUCACUGCUUUUCUGCUGGGAUUUAAUUUUUACAUUGCAUCCAAGCGCGGAGAAACUGAAUCAUUCGUUUAAACACUUAACCCCCCUUCCAGCACACCCCCGUUUUAUAGGAGCGCAGCCGAAGCUGUUGCACUGGAGCAUAUUCCGCCGCAGAGGGGCACCCGGGGAGUGUUUUUCCCCCACGGAGGAGCCGCGCCUCGGUGGAACCUCCCUCCGGUGCUCCGGGGAGGCUGCGAUCGAUGCCGCUGCAGCCAGCGCCCAGCUUGAGCUGCAUUAGCUUAUUAAAAAAAAAAUAGAAAAUAAAAUAAAAACGGGCAGAAAUUGCAAUUAUCAUUGUCUCGGGUUACGGCAAAUGCCAUUAUGCUGAGAAAUGGGAGGAAAACAAUGCCGCGAAAAUGCGAAUAGCUUUGGUAAUAACGCGUUGCUGCGCCGGUCCCUGCGCGCCCGCGGAAGGCUUCCUCCCCCAUCUCAGGCUUGGAGCUCCCACCCACGGCGUGGGGCAAAGCUCCCUGUGUGCGGGGUGCGGAGCCGACAGGCAGCACGGGGAUUCUUGGGAUGUGUGAGAGGAUGGAGAUGGGGGGUCCCCCUUUGUAUGGGGGGUCCGCAGCUGACGGAGGGAGCUGCGCACCCCGGAGAUGUGUGGGUACCCGCGGGUAGUGUCACGGACACGGACAGGAACCCACGGGGGAGAUGCAGUGUAGUCGGUGCCGGCUGGAAGGCAAGCCGGAGGGCUUCCGUGCAGAAAAGGAGUUAAACCCUGCCGUUGUCCUUUGAUUUAGGAAACGGCUCAUCCAAUUCAGUUCCAGAUUAUUCAGGGGCAGACUGCCUCCCUCGCUCCCUCUCUCCCCACACCAGCCCAAACAUCUUGAAGUAAUCAGCAGCUGAGAACGGAGACGUCCCCCUGGCAUCUCAGGUUAAAGAAGGAGGUCCAGGAAAAUGUGGUAGAGCCAUUACAAGAAACCUGAGAUGCAUUCAUCAGAGACUCCAAUUGCCAUCGCAUUAGGAUUGAUUAGAGACCAGCAGUACCGUAAUGACCCGGAAAGAGGGGCAUACGGGGAUUAUUAAUAUCAGACUUCUUGGGAAAAAAAAAAAAAAGAAAAGAAAAGAAAAGGAGAAAAGGAAGAAAGGAGGGAAAAAUUUAAACACAAAAGCACAUCGCGGGGCUGCUGCUCAUAUGCAGACUUACCUGAGGAGCACAGGCACUGGAGAGCCGCAGAGACGAACAGCAAGUGGAUGGGAAAGGAGCCCUCUACAACACAAACCUCAUUGACUUAAUGGGCCGGUUUUGGAUUUCGCCUUCGAAAGGUUCGGAAAGCGACAGCGUUGUGUUACUGCCCCGCCGGCUCCAGCCCCCGUUAUCAUCCCCGUGAGACGGGGCUCCGGAAAAUAAAAAUGUCUCUGAUUUGA